AUGGCUCCGCCGGCGUGGGUCAUCCUGGGCACCGUCCUGCGCGUGUCGGAGCAGCAGGACGCGGACCUCUCCCUCGAGCUCGCCGCACCGCCGCGCGUCUCCGUCCUCACCGUGCCCCCGCGCGUGUCCCCCCCGUCCAGGCCGACCCCACCAGCGGCGCCUGCCUCUGGUUGUCACCGCGGACCCUGCCUCCGGCCUCCUCCUCCUCUAUGCCCCGCCGCCCCCUCCCGCUCCCACUCCACCUCCCCCGCCGGCCUACCGCAACGGGAGGCUCGUCCUCAACAUCACCGACAUCGAGCGUCGGCCGCCGGCCUACUUCGUCUGCGACGUCGCCUCCGCCACCGCUUUCCGCCUCCUGCAACCCGACCGCGACCCGAGGGGGCUAGGUUCGGAGAUCAACGCGUCGAACCUCGGCUUAGUCACAAUAGUGGCCUGCUCAAUAGGCCUGUGUAG
rnacentral:rRNA from 1 species